rnacentral:rRNA from 1 species
CCUACGGGUGGCAGCAGUCGAGAAUCAUUCACAAUGGGGGAAACCCUGAUGGUGCGACGCCGCGUGGGGGAAUGAAGGUCUUCGGAUUGUAAACCCCUGUCAUGUGGGAGCAAAUUAAAAAGAUAGUACCACAAGAGGAAGAGACGGCUAACUCUGUGCCAGCAGCCGCGGUAAUACAGAGGUCUCAAGCGUUGUUCGGAAUCACUGGGCGUAAAGCGUGCGUAGGCUGUUUCGUAAGUCGUGUGUGAAAGGCGCGGGCUCACCCCGCGGACGGCACAUGAUACUGCGAGACUAGAGUAAGGGAGGGGGAAGCGGAAUUCGCGGUGUAGCAGUGAAAUGCGUAGAUAGCGAGAGGAACACUCGUGGCGAAGGCGGGUUCCUGGACAUUAACUGACGCUGAGGCACGAAGGCCAGGGGAGCGAAAGGGAUUAGAUACCCGGGUAGUC